GACGAACGCUGGCGGCGUGCUUAACACAUGCAAGCCGAACGAUGAAGCGGUGCUUGCACCGUGGAUUAGUGGCGAACGGGUGAGUAAUACGUGAGUGACCUACCUUUGACUCUGGGAUAAGCCUGGGAAACUGGGUCUAAUACCGGAUACGACCAAUCUCUGCAUGGGGUGUUGGUGGAAAGCGUUAUGGAGUGGUUUUAGAUGGGCUCACGGCCUAUCAGCUUGUUGGUGAGGUAAUGGCUUACCAAGGCGACGACGGGUAGCCGGCCUGAGAGGGUGACCGGCCACACUGGGACUGAGACACGGCCCAGACUCCUACGGGAGGCAGCAGUGGGGAAUAUUGCACAAUGGGCGCAAGCCUGAUGCAGCGACGCCGCGUGAGGGAUGACGGCCUUCGGGUUGUAAACCUCUGUUAGCAUCGAAGAAGCGAAAGUGACGGUAGGUGCAGAGAAAGCGCCGGCUAACUACGUG
rnacentral:rRNA from 1 species